rnacentral:rRNA from 1 species
CCCUUAGAGUUUGAUCCUGGCUCAGGACGAACGCUGGCGGCGUGCUUAACACAUGCAAGUCGAGCGGUAAGGCCCUUUCGGGGGUACACGAGCGGCGAACGGGUGAGUAACACGUGAGUAAUCUGCCCUUGGCUCUGGGAUAAGCACUCGAAAGGGUGUCUAAUACCGGAUAUGACGCAGUCCUGCAUGGGAUCUGUGUGGAAAGUUUUUUCGGCCAGGGAUGUGCUCGCGGCCUAUCAGCUUGUUGGUGGGGUAAUGGCCUACCAAGGCUUUGACGGGUAGCCGGCCUGAGAGGGUGACCGGUCACACUGGGACUGAGACACGGCCCAGACUCCUACGGGAGGCAGCAGUGGGGAAUAUUGGACAAUGGGCGGAAGCCUGAUCCAGCAACGCCGCGUGAGGGAUGACGGCCUUCGGGUUGUAAACCUCUUUCAGUACCGACGAAGCUUCAUUCUUUUGGGUGGGGUGACGGUAGGUACAGAAGAAGCACCGGCCAACUACGUGCCAGCAGCCGCGGUAAUACGUAGGGUGCGAGCGUUGUCCGGAAUUAUUGGGCGUAAAGGGCUCGUAGGCGGUUUGUCGCGUCGGGAGUGAAAACAUCCAGCUUAACUGGGUGCUUGCUUUCGAUACGGGCAGACUUGAGGUAUGCAGGGGAGAAUGGAAUUCCUGGGUGUAGCGGUGAAAUGCGCAGAUAUCAGGAGGAACACGGUGGCGAGGCGGUUCUCUGGGCAUUACCUGACGCUGAGAGCGAAAGUGUGGGGAGCGACAGAUAGAUACCCUGGUAGUCCCACCGUAAACGUGG